rnacentral:rRNA from 1 species
UGGCGGCGUGCCUAAUAACAUGCAAGUCGAGCGAGCUUGCCUAUAGAAGUUCUUCGGAAUGGAAAUAGAUACAAGCUAGCGGCGGAUGGGUGAGUAACGCCGUGGGUAACCUGCCCUUAAGGUCUGGGGAUACCAUUGGAAACAGAUGCUAAUACCGGAUAAAAGCUACUUUCGCAUGAAAGAAGUUUAAAAAGGCGGCGUAAGCUGUCGCUAAAGGGAUGGACCCUGCGAUGCAUUAGCUAGUUGGUAAGGUAACGGCUUACCAAGGCGAUGAUGCAUAGCCGAGUUGAGAGACUGAUCGGCCACGUUGGGACUGAGACACGGCCCAAACUCCUACGGGAGGCAGCAGUAGGGAAAUCUUCCACAAUGGACGAAAGUCUGAUGGAGCAAACGCCGCGUGAGUGAAGAAGGUUUUCGGAUCGUAAAGCUCUGUUGUUGGUGAAGAAGGAUAGAGGUAGUAACUGGCCUUUAUUUGACGGUAAUCAACCAGAAAGUCACGGCUAACUACGUACCAGCAGCCGCGGUAAU